rnacentral:rRNA from 1 species
CCCUUAGAUGUUCGGGGCCGCACGCGCGCUACACUGAAGGAAUCAGCACGUCUUUCUCCUUGUCCGAAAGGACUGGGUAACCCGCUGAACCUCCUUCGUGCUAGGGAUUGGGGCUUGUAAUUCUUCCCCAUGAACGAGGAAUUCCCAGUAAGCACGAGUCAUAAGCUCGCGUUGAUUACGUCCCUGCCCUUUGUACACACCGCCCGUCGCUACUACCGAUUGGAUGGUUUAGUGAGAUCCUCGGAUUGGUCCCGGAGCGGCCUCUGGUCGUGCCGGAGUGCCGAAAAGAAUGUCGAACUUGAUCAUCUAGAGGAAGUAAAAGUCGUAACA